UACGGGGGGGGCAAGCGUUGUUCGGAAUUACUGGGCGUAAAGGGUUUGUAGGUGGCUUGUUAAGUCAGACGUGAAAUCCCUCGGCUUAACCGGGGAACUGCAUCUGAUACUGGAUGGCUUGAGUUCGGGAGAGGGAUGCGGAAUUCCAGGUGUAGCGGUGAAAUGCGUAGAUAUCUGGAGGAACACCGGUGGCGAAGGCGGCAUCCUGGACCGACACUGACGCUGAACGACGAAAGCUAGGGGAGCAAACGGG
rnacentral:rRNA from 1 species